GGGCUCGUAGCUCAGUUGGUAUGAGUGCCGGCUUUGCGAGCCGGAGGCCGCGGGUUCAAAUCCCGCCGAGUCCACCA
rnacentral:tRNA from 1 species